AUAAGGGAGAAAAAAGCAAAAAAAUGAAAAAAGAGUCAUAAACUGAAGAGAGAAGGUCCCUGAAUUUACUGCCCUGCUAUCACCACUCCACUCCACUGAGUCCUCCCAGUGUGCACUGGGUUGAUGAUGUCAUUAACAGCACAGACCGGCACUGGAGCGGGGAAUCUCCCUAUGAGGAAAAGAUGGAUCUAUUCUCC